GGCCAGGCGCGGUGGCUCAUGCCUAUAAUCCCAGCACUUUGGGAGGCCGAGGCAGGCGGAUCACGAGGUCAAGAGAUCGAGACCAUCCUGGCCAACAAGUAAUUAAUAACUCCAGUAAAAGCAGUGAGUUAGAAAAGAAAAAGCAGAUUAAAUAGCAUUUACAGGCUGGGUGUGGUGGUUCAUGCCUAUGAUCUCAGCACUUUGGGAGGCCAAGGUGGGGGUGGAUCACUUGAGGCCAGGAGUUCAAGACCAGCCUGGCCCACACAGUGAAACCCCGUCUCUACUAAAAAUACAAAAAUUAGCUGGGCCUGCUGGUGCGUGCCUGUAAUCUCAGCUUGAACCCUGGAGGUGGAGGUUGAGGUGAGUGGAGAUUGUGCCACUGCCCUCCAGCCUGGGCGACACAGUGAGACCCUGUCCCCACCCCCCAAAAAAACCCCAAAAAUAGCAUUUACAGUCCUAAUAAUGUAAACUUUGAAUAUUAAUCCAACUCAAAUUAAGAUAUAACUUUGAAGUGGGGGAAGAGAAAGUGGAAAGUGUGUGUGUGGUUGGAGGGGAAUGUAUGCGCAUAUUAAAUCCUUUGUGCCACUGCACUCCAG
rnacentral:lncRNA from 1 species